GGACUUUUCAAGAUUUUUUUCUGAUUUACUGUGGACAUUCUGUUUUGGUGGACCCAAAAAGUCCACGUAAAAAUAAACGCACAGAACACCUUUUAGCUGGACGUAAACGUAUCCGAAAGAACAAGUCUGUUUCGGUGGACUCAAAAAUUGUCCACCUUAGGCGCCAUCUAUCUCUAAACUAAAAAAUUUGAUGGUUCGUAGUUCCAAUAUCUGCCACAGACGGCGCCACCAUCGGCUGGCUCUGUGUUGAAGCUCGGAAACGCACGCCUUGAUCAGCGCGGGCUAGCGCGGGCAUGCAGCAAAAACGUAACAUGAUAUGAUUUAUAGUGUGGUCUGUGGAAUGUGAAGCGAUCAAAAUAGACGUUUGUUUUAUUUUUAAAAAAGUGUAAAAAUAAAUUAAUUAUAUUAUGUAUCUUAGAAACCCGUGAAUUAGAGUAUGAUGAAGUUUUGUGUAGUUGCAACAACACUGUUUUUUGUUGCGGUGUUAUCGGCGCGGCACGGCUCACCACGUGGCGGUGUCAGUGUUGGGAUUUGGAAGAGAUAAAGCUUUGGGUGGUACUAAUUUGUGUUUUUUUUUGUGCUGGGAGCUUUUUGAAGUCUGUGAGGUAGCUUGGAUGUUCAGGCCACUUUGAUAGUCCAAGAUGCUGUCUGGUACUAAUGUACGCAAGAAGCGACCAGCAGCUGUUACUUCUGGACGAAGGAGGAAAGUGGCGAAAACUGUUCAGGAUCUCUAUUUUGUGGAAAGAAUAUUAGCCCACCAGUGGAAAGACGGCAACAUGAUGUACCUCAUCAAGUGGCAAGGUUUCAGGAUGCCUACGUGGGAGCCAGCGCAGAACCUGAAUCCUGUGAUCCUUCAAAAGUACCACGGUAAGAGCCAUACAUUAUGCAUUCCAGUUAGCUAAACAAAUCUACGGCUUGUGUUUUUUAUUGGGUUUAGGUGCAUGCAAUUGUGACUUAAAAGAGCGUUUAAUUUUUCAGUCGUUGCUU